rnacentral:tRNA from 1 species
GAUAGGAUGGUCGAGAAUAUUAGGCGAUAGACUGUAAAUCUAUAUAGGAGGAAUUUAAUCCUCUCUUAUCA